rnacentral:rRNA from 1 species
GACGAACGCUGGCGGCGUGCCUAAUACAUGCAAGUCGAACUCAGUGGGGACGGGUGAGUAACACGUGGGUAACCUCCCAUCAGAGGGGAUAACACUUGGAAACAGGUGCUAAACCGAUACUGAUGGAUGAACCCGCGGUGCAUUAGCUAGUUGGUGAGGUAACGGCUCACCAAGGCCACGAUGCAUAGCGGGCCUGGGAGGGGGAUCGGCCACACGGGGACUGAGGAACGGCCCAAACUCCUACGGGGGGGAGCAGUAGGGAAUUUUCGGAAAUGGCCGAAAGUCUGACCGGGAAACGCCGCGGGAGUAAAGAAGGUUUUCGGAUCGUAAAACUCUGUUGUUAGAGAAGCGGUAUCUAACCAGAAAGCCACGGCUAACUACGUGCCAGCAGCCGCGGUAAUAC